CAACAAUGGUGCUAUACCAAGGCUACCUGAACCUCCUCCUCUGGGAUCCUGAAAAUGAAGAAUUAUCUGAGACUCUGCUGAUGGACAGAAUCUGGCUCCAGGAACUGGCAUUCCAGUUGCACCAGUUAACUGUCCUGGCCUCAGUCUUGCUAGUGGCCAGAAGCUUCUCUGGUGAAGUUUUAUUCAGAUCACCUGAAUUUGUGGAUAUACUGAAAUGCACCACCAAGGCCCUAACUGAGGAAUUUAUCUCCAGGAGUCUCUGCUACACUUUCCUGGAGGCCUCAUUCUCAUUGAAG
rnacentral:lncRNA from 1 species